rnacentral:lncRNA from 1 species
UUUUUUUUUUUUUAUUGGUGUUCAAUUUACUAACAUACAGAAUAACCCCCAGUGCCCGUCACCCAUUCACUCCCACCCCCCGCCCUCCUCCCCUUCUACCACCCCUAGUUCUUUUCCCAGAGUUAGCAGUCUUUACGUUCUGUCUCCCUUUCUGAUAUUUCCCACACAUUUCUUCUCCCUUCCCUUAUUUUCCCUUUCACUAUUAUUUAUAUUCCCCAAAUGAAUGAGAACAUAUAAUGUUUGUCCUUCUCCGACUGACUUACUUCACUCAGCAUAAUACCCUCCAGUUCCAUCCACGUUGAAGCAAAUGGUGGGUAUUUGUCAUUUCUAAUAGCUGAGCAUUUUUUCAUGUGUCUGUUGGCCAUUUACAACAUAAAUUUAUUUUCUCCUAGUCUGAAAGCUGAAUUUCCAAGAUCAAGGCACCAGUAGGGUUGGCUUCAGAUGAUACCUUUCUCCUCAGCUUGAAGACAGCACUUUCUUAUCAUGUCCCUUACCUGGCCUUUCUCUGGAGAGAGUUAGGGGAAGGGGAAGAGAAGGGGGCCUCUGGUAUUUCUCACUUUUUUAUAAGGGUAUCAAUCCUAUCACUUUAGGAUCCCAUCCUUAUGAUGUCAUUUGACCUUAACCUCCUCCUUAAAGGUCCUGUCUCCAAAUAAAAUCACAUUGGGAGUUAGGGUUUCAACAUAUAAAUUUUGAGAUAAAAUAUUUCAGUGUAUAACAUUAUAUGUAGUAAACUAAAAGAACAUGUGAGGAUAACAUCUCACUGAAUCGACUAUAUUUUAUUAAUAGAAAUUAUGAGACCAAAUUAAAAUUCAAGGCUUGAAAAUGAUAGUGAUUGAUGAAAACCUCACUGGAAUUAAUAUAAGGGUAAAUCUGAGCUCGCAAGAGAAAAAAAUACUGAAUUUUAAAAGAGGUCAGUUUUGAGGUUAUCCAACCUGAAAAGCAGGAAAAAAAGUGAUGAAAAAUAAACAAACCCUAGAAACCUGUAGGAAACUAUCAAGCACACCAACAUCCACAUAAGGAAUCAUAGGAGGAGAAGAGAGUGGUAUAGAUUUAGUAUUUUAAAAAGUGGCCUAAAAUUUACCAAAUUUGAUGAUCAACAUUAAUCUAGAGCCAAGAAUUUCAAUACCAAUUUUGAUAAGCACAAAGAAAUUAAUACCUCAGCAUAUCAAAAUAAAUCUGUUGACAUAUAAAGGAAAAAAGAUUAAAAACAACCAGAGAGAUGAUUUAUCACAUUUGUUCUGAAUUGAAUUGUGUGUGCCCAAAUCAAAUUCUUCUGUUGAAGCCCUAAUUCUUACUAUGACUGAUUUUAGAAAUAAGUCCUUUAAGAAGGUAAUUCAGGUUAAAUGAGGUAUAAGGGUAGAACCCUAACAUAAGAGGACUGAUGUCAUUUUAAUCAGAGGAAGAGACACUGGAAUUCAUAAUUACAGAAGAAAGAUCAGUGAGAACCAAAGGAGAAUGCCUCCAAAUGCAAGUGAGGGAGAAAAACUUCAGGAGAAAUCCAUCCUGCUGACACCUCAAUCUUGAACUCUUAGCUUCCAGUAUUAUGAAAAAUCUUUCUGUUCUCUCAGCCACAUGAUCUGUGGUAUUUUGCUACAGCAGCCCUAAUAAGAUAACAGGACAUAGAAUUCUUAAUAUGACAAACAGCUGAAUUUUCAUCAGAAACCAUGGAUGUCAGAAAUCGGUGAGGAUACCUCAACAAAGAAGGUAUAAAGAUGGUAAAUAAGCAUAUGAAGACAUGCUCAAUGCCACUGGCCAUUGGGGAGUAGUAAAUUAAGUAGGAGAUAACAUUAUAUUCUGUUAGAAUAGCUGAUUUUAUUUAAAAAAAAACCUGACAACGUCAAAUGCUGGUGAGGAUGUAGAGAAGGAAGACCUUUCUUUGCUGGUAGAAAUUGAAAACGCUACAGCAAAUUUGGAAGGCCACUUGACAGUUCCUUAUGAAGCUAAGCAUAGGCUUACCAGAUGCUCCAGCAAUCACAUUGAUGGAUAUCUAUCUUACACAUUGGAAAACUUAUGCUCAUACAAAAAUCUGCAUGCAAAUUCUGAUAGAAGUUUUUUUCAUGAUCUCCAAAACUAGAAGAAAUUACACUGUCUUUCAUAAGUGAACAAGUAAAAAUAUGGUGGUAAAUCCAUACAAUGAUAUCCUAUUGAACAAUAAAAAGAACUAGCUGCCAAGCCAUGCAAAAACAUGUAUGAAUGAAUCUUAAAUUCUUAUGGCUACAUCAUGAAGGCCAAUAUAAAAAGGCCAUAUGUGGCCUGAGGCUUGUAUAUGAUCUUCUUCAAAAGGUUAAACUAUA